AUACCGGACAGUAGUUUGAGCUCCGAUAAGCUCAAACGGUGUAUUUUCUCUCAGGCGGCCACGAUAGAAAAGGAAAGCCAAAACUUAAGCGUUGAUAAAAUUACAAAUUUCGAAAUGCAGUGGAAAAACAUACAUUUAUUAAAGAAUUCAAAAAUUAAUUAGAAGAAAAUCCUUAUUCCGAUCGCGCGGAUUUUGUGUUUAGCUUACUAAUUUUACCUUUAAGGAGAAAAGGAAAUACAACUUU